rnacentral:rRNA from 1 species
GACGAACGCUGGCGGCGUGCCUAAUACAUGCAAGUAGAACGCUGAAGGAGGAGCUUGCUUCUCUGGAUGAGUUGCGAACGGGUGAGUAACGCGUAGGUAACCUGCCUGGUAGCGGGGGAUAACUAUUGGAAACGAUAGCUAAUACCGCAUAAUAGUAGAUGUUGCAUGACAUUUGCUUAAAAGGUGCAAUUGCAUCACUACCAGAUGGACCUGCGUUGUAUUAGCUAGUUGGUGAGGUAACGGCUCACCAAGGCGACGAUACAUAGCCGACCUGAGAGGGGGGUCGGCCGCACUGGGGCGGAGACACGGCCCAGACUCCUACGGGAGGCAGCAGUAGGGAAUCUUAGGCAAUGGACGGAAGUCUGACCGAGCAACGCCGCGUGAGUGAAGAAGGUUUUCGGAUCGUAAAGCUCUGUUGUAAGAGAAGAACGAGUGUGAGAGUGGAAAGUGCACACUGUGACGGUAUCUGACCAGAAAGGGACGGCUAACUACGUG